UAUGACUCUCGGAAGUGGAUAUCUUGUCUCGUGUCUCGAUGAAGAGCGCAGCGAAAUGCGAUACGUGGUGAGAAUUGCAGAAUCCCGUGACCCAUGGAGUUUUUGAACCCAAGUUGCGCCCGAGCCCAAUUGGCUGAGGCCCCUUCCGCCUGGGCGUCAACCAUU
rnacentral:rRNA from 1 species